rnacentral:rRNA from 1 species
UACGGGGGGAGCAAACGUUGUUCGGAAUCACUGGGCGUAAAGGGCGUGUAGGCGGCUGAAUAAGUGGGAUGUUAAAUCCCCCGGCUCAACCGGGGACCUGCAUCUCAUACUGUUCAGCUCGAGCACAUCAGAGGAGACUGGAAUUCCCGGUGUAGCGGUGAAAUGCGUAGAUAUCAGGAGGAACACCGGUGGUGUAGACGGCUUUCUGGACCGUAACUGACGCUGAGACACGAAAGCGUGGGUAGCAAACAGG